rnacentral:lncRNA from 1 species
UUUUUUUUUUUUUUUUUUUUUUUUAAGACAAGGUCCUGCUCUGCCAUCCAGGCUGAAAUGCAGAGGCAUGAUCUUGGCUCACUGCAGCCUCAACUCUCUGGGUUCAAGUGAACCUCCUGCCUUAGUCGCCCAAGUAGCUGGGACUACAGGCGCUUGCCACCGCACCCAGCUAAUUUUUAUUUUUAUUUUGUAGAGACAGGGAUCUCCCUAUGUUACCCAGGCUGGUCUCGAACUCCUGAGCUCAAGUGAUGCUCCCUUCUUAGCCUCCCAAAGUGCUGGGAUUAUAGGCAUGAGCCACCACACCCAGCCCAGAAUCAGAAUUUAACCCAGGCAUCUGGGUUCCAGAUUUGACAUGUUUAAAAGGUAUGAUAUACUUACUACCUUCGAGAAGUGAAGAAUAGAAAGGAAAUUCCUCUUCUGUUUCCGUAAGUCCAACUCUACAACAGUUAGCUUAUCUCUGCCUAUGCAUCAUUAGUUGCCAAGGUAAUGAGACAAUCUCCAAGGUAAGCAUCAUAAAAUGUUCAAAUGAGAUUUAAAUAAGGAACUUAUAUUUUUAGUUUAUGCUACAUUGUGCUUUACUAAAGGCAAUUUAUUUCAUUCAAUACUUCAGAAGCCAUUCUAUUAAGUUUGGAAUGUGAAAUUAUCAUUGAAGGCUUACUUGCCCUAUUCAAUCUGUUACUCUUUUUGAUAGAUAUUUCUCUAGCACUGAGGUUCUAGAAUUCUGGGGCAUGGAAUUACAGCCUCUGUGAACACAUUUCAAGGUGUAAAUCUCCUUGCAAAGGGUUGGGGAAGACAGGGCAACUCUCUACCUAAAAUUUGGGGGAACUGGCCAUAAGACAAAUAGAAUUCUCAUUCAUAUGACUCUGACUGGGAAAAUCUCACUGCCUCAAGGUGCUUCGAAUAAACUUGCCAACUCUGACUAGGGAGCUUGGGAUAUCCCAGCAGCACUUCUUCAGCAGUGGGACCCUUGCAGUCCACCCCUCACCUUUAAGGACCUGUGUUUCUCAGCCUGAGAAGAGAUGCUAAGGAAUCCCAGGAACCCUGUGCAAUUCCUAACAUCUUAGGGGCACAGUUAAACAGUGCACACUAUUUUCUUCCCCAAUCUUUCUAUUCUGAAUUUUGGGGUUCUGUGUUAUCUGCAAUCAUGCAGAUCUCAAGCUUCAAAAAGUGACAAUGACCAAUUUCUCUUAUGAUCCAUUCAUUUAAAGCUGUGGUCAAAACAGACAAAGAAAUUACUGAAAAAGGCUAGAAAGCUUAAGAAUGUUUCAGAAAUUAUGUAAUAUAUUAAAUUGCCUAAAAGUGCAUGUGUCUUUUCAAAAGAUAGCAUCCUUGUUUGUAAUCACAUUCUUAUUGUCUAGACACAAGUUCAGCCUAUAUUUCAUGAAACAUUUUUAUUAUUUCCUUAUCUGGCAAUGGUUUUCUUGAACCUGUGGUCAGAUUAGAAGGUUGGACAGAUGGUACCUUGAAUUUAAAUACAAUGUUUGCUCUGCCUAAGAAGAGUAUUGACUAUAAAAGUCACAGGCUUCGGACCAUUUCCUGUGGGAUUUUUCCACUAUCCUUCCAAUUAGUCAAAAUGAUGUUUCUCUAAACAUGAUCAUUCAUUUUUCUCUGGAGGGUUGCCUUCCAUCCCAUGCAAGAAAGAUGAUCCUGGAAAAUAAAGGAAGCUUUCUACUCUCCGUGCCCCGGUCCCGUGCAAUAUUUAUGAUUAAUUGCAGUCCCUAUGAACGAAUGACGAAAGAAAAAAGCAUUCAGUUUCCUUGUUCUCCUCACAUAAAAAAGCAUUUGUUGCAAUUUGGGUCCCAGCCAACUUUCAUUGUUUAGGCAAUAAUUAGUCAAAUUAUAGCAAUCACUAACAAUCAUAACAGAAAUCAUAUAAUUGUAAUUUAGACCAAUGACCUUGGACUUAUGAAAAUAGGAUGUGGGGUAUUUAAUUGCAUAAUG